CCCUGCAUUAAGCGAUCAGAGAGCACAAUAUUUCAUUGCCGGCAAUCGCAGCCAAGACAUCAACUACUUGGGGAGAGCAGCCUUAAAAGCCUUUUGAUUUUAUUUCUUCCACUUCAUUUUUUUUUUCCCCUUUCCUUGCUGGUGUCCUUGACAGGGCCUCCCUUCCCGCCCUGCCACCCCUUCCUCAAUGCUCCCCUCCCACAAGGGGCCGGGGGCUGCAGGUCUGGGGGGGUGCCUGCAGGACCCCACAGUCUGACCUAGAGCAGUGCAUGUGUGCACAGGUGUGGAUGUGUAGCUGGGAGACUGCUGUGGUCCCCUGGGUCCCUUUCUGUGCACCAGGGCAGCACUGUGUAUACAUGUCUGGAAGCCUGCGCCUGUGGGCACACACCUGUGUCCGAGUGGGCCCUGUGUGCACCCGCAUGUGCAUGCCUGGGUGUGUAGGCACACGCGCUGGCCUCACUGCACACACUCACCAGAAAACUCCACCAAGUGCCUUAAUCUGAUCCCCGAGGAACAACGCAGAGGCUUCACUCUGGAUGACAAACGAGGAGGGGAGAGGCCUACCCUGCCUGGACUCCGGGCCCCAGCCAUGACCGUGUCAGCUAGACGACACCUGGAGCAAGUCCCCACAACCUGUUUUACUCCUGAGCGGGCUUUGUGCCUAGACCUGGGAAUCCUGACUCACUUUGGUAAAGCUAUCGACCUCUCCAAGCCUCAGUUUCCUCAUCUUCAGUUUGGGCAGAUCUUUAGGCUCAGUGGAGCCAAAACGUCACCACCUUCUCCUGCAGCGCUGCCCUCUGGUCCCACUCAGCCUCAUCUGUGCCGGCUGGUCCUACACUUUGCUCACUCGGGAUUUUACACAUGGGGCCUGCGUCUCUCACGGAGGGCCACCAGGAGGCGCCACACGCCUGCUCGGCCUCCCCGUGGGCCCCCCAAUCCUCCCGGCCGGUCGGUCUGGAGGCGGGGCGUCCUCGGGGUCGGGAGUGCACGGUCUGCGGUUCAGCCCCGGCUCUAGCACGUGGCCCGCGGAGCCGCGCACCCUUUCUCUCUCUUGAACCCCCAUCGGGUGGCGGGCGUCUCAUCCAACCCUCUCUGCGCGAUCCUGCUCCCUCUGCGCCCGCGGGCAUCCGAGAUCCAGGCUUCUGUCACCCCCUAGCCCUACCCGCGAAGUCCUCUGUCAUCCUGCGAGCACAGGACCCAAAGUGCUGUGCUGUGGUCCCCGUUCCCCCAGCUCCUAUCCCUCUCUGAAGGUUGGAUGAAUAAACUGCUCUCAAAGCUGGUUUGUUUCGCCA
rnacentral:lncRNA from 1 species